rnacentral:misc_RNA from 1 species
AAGUCGUAACAAGGUUUCCGUAGGUGAACCUGCGGAAGGAUCAUUUGUGAAAUUUAAUGUUUUUUUGAAGAGGGGUAAAAUCCUUUUUAGAAAAACAUAAAAAAAAGAGAUUUCUUGUGGUUUAUAAAUGAUUUUUUCAAAAAAAAUUGUUUGUUGUUGGAAAUUUAAACUUUCAAUGACAAACAAUUUAUAUUUUUAAAAAUCAAUUUUUAUAAAAACUAUUUUAAACAUGUAUUUAAAAAAUUAACAGUUUUAAAAAAAUAAAUUAAAAAAAUUAAAACUGUCAACGGUGGAUCUCUUGGCUCGU